rnacentral:rRNA from 1 species
GACGAACCGUGCGAACGUUGUUCGGAAUCACUGGGCUUAAAGCGCGUGUAGGCGGAUGGCCACGUCGGGCGCUGAAAUCCCCCGGCUCAACCGGGGAACGGGCACCGAUACGGGCCGUCUGGAGGGAGGUAGGGGGGGCUGGAACUUCCGGUGGAGCGGUGAAAUGCGUUGAGAUCGGAAGGAACGCCCGUGGCGAAAGCGAGCCCCUGGACCUUUUCUGACGCUGAGACGCGAAAGCUAGGGGAGCGAACGGG